UGGAUCCAGACUUUGAUUCUGGCUCAGGAUGAACGCUAGCUACAGGCCUAACACAUGCAAGUCGAGGGGCAGCGGGGUUGAAGCUUGCUUCAACUGCCGGCGACCGGCGCACGGGUGAGUAACACGUAUCCAACCUUCCGUUUACUCAGGGACAGCCUUUCGAAAGAGAAGAUUAAUACCUGAUAGUAUCGAGAGAUUGCAUGAUAGCCCGAUUAAAGAUUAAUCGGUAAACGAUGGGGAUGCGUUCCAUUAGCUUGUUGGCGGGGUAACGGCCCACCAAGGCGACGAUGGAUAGGGGUUCUGAGAGGAAGGUCCCCCACAUUGGAACUGAGACACGGUCCAAACUCCUACGGGAGGCAGCAGUGAGGAAUAUUGGUCAAUGGGCGAGAGCCUGAACCAGCCAAGUAGCGUGAAGGAUGAAGGUUCUAUGGAUUGUAAACUUCUUUUAUACGGGAAUAAAACCUCCCACGUGUGGGAGCUUGUAUGUACCGCAUGAAUAAGCAUCGGCUAACUCCGUGCCAGCAGCCGCGGUAAUACGGAGGAUGCGAGCGUUAUCCGGAUUUAUUGGGUUUAAAGGGAGCGCAGACGGGAGAUUAAGUCAGCUGUGAAAGUUUGCGGCUCAACCGUAAAAUUGCAGUUGAUACUGGUUUCCUUGAGUGCGGUUGAGGUGUGCGGGAUUCGUGGUGUAGCGGUGAAAUGCUUAGAUAUCACGAAGAACCCCGAUUGCGAAGGCAGCACACUAAGCCGUAACUGACGUUCAUGCUCGAAAGUGUGGGUAUCAAACAGGAUUAGAUACCCUGGUAGUCCACACGGUAAACGAUGGAUACUCGCUGUUGGCGAUAUACGGUCAGCGGCCAAGCGAAAGCAUUAAGUAUCCCACCUGGGGAGUACGCCGGCAACGGUGCAACUCAAAUGAAUUGACGGA
rnacentral:rRNA from 1 species